rnacentral:ncRNA from 1 species
CAUGAUUAGAUUAGUCUAUCUAGGAUUGUUUAGAGGGUAGUCGCAGUCGCCCCAACUCUGACUUAGAAUAAAAUAGUUUUUUGUUUUGUAAGUAGGGUGAGAAACAACAAAUAUAUUGUUGGAAACUUUGAUUUUUCUUAAUAAAUUAGAGAACUGU